rnacentral:rRNA from 1 species
UACGGAGGGUGCAAGCGUUAUCCGGAUUCACUGGGUUUAAAGGGUGCGUAGGCGGGCUGUUAAGUCAGUGGUGAAAUCCUGGAGCUUAACUCCAGAACUGCCAUUGAUACUAUCAGUCUUGAAUACCGUGGAGGUCAGCGGAAUAUGUCAUGUAGCGGUGAAAUGCUUAGAUAUGACAUAGAACACCAAUUGCGAAGGCAGCUGGCUACACGAAUAUUGACACUGAUGCACGAAAGCGUGGGGAUCAAACAGG